UUUGAUGAAUUUACUUGGAUCCGGUCUUUGUUUUGUCUUUGUUGUGUGUGCCUUCAGGUUGGAUCCUUUAGAUCUACGCUUCUAUUCAUCGGCGGCGGUUGUUAUUCUGGUGCAUUGGUCCUAUGGGGACUUAGCACGAUAACUCCCCAUUUGUUUACUACAACAAGUUGUGCCGGGCUCCGACGAGGGAGGGGCGAUGACGGCGCUACGCCUUCAGCUUGCUUUAGUGCUUCUAGUCGUUGCUAGGUGGUCUACAAAUCUACACUGGGCCGAUGAUGAGCACAAUGGCAUGGGAAGCACGCGACAACGGGUGACCUAGAGACGAGCGCGACAUCACGGAUGGGCGACGCUCGCCGACAGCAUGACUUAUAUGGGAAGACGUAAUCCAAUAACACAUGUGGUUUUGAUUUGAUGCUAGCGCAGUGACUAACCGACGAAUUAGAGUAGGACACGAGACCCAGAUUGGCUCACGAGACUCGAGUCGCCGCCGUCUCUCAUGCCCUACUCUUUCUCGAUGAGGCAUGUGGCAUACACGUCAUCAGUGAAUGUGAGGUCGAUGAUGCAUCCGUCAUGGUCGGAGCCCAACACGUCCACCACGACACAAUUGCGGCAGCAAGGGUUGCCGGUCACCCAUAGCGGUGCUGGAGAGUGCGACUCUGCCUCGCCGGUUUCUGCCGUGAGGGCUUGAUAUGGGGUUGUUGGUCAGCCUUGGCGAUUGGGCCCGAUUUGCAUUGUUCGAUUAGAUGACAAUUUUGCGUUCAUGUAGUAGUGAUCGGGCAGUCUGCCGGACGUUUGGCUGGGAUAUGGGUCCGGCUGCAAAUGAUCUUAUCAAAUACAGAUAUAAAAAAACGCUCACACUCAACUCGCUCCUUCUGCUCUUGUGCUUGGUUGCUAGCUAUCACCUUAGUCUCCUCCAUGCCGUUGACCACAAAAACAAUCCCCAAAUCAGCACCAAACAACCCCGUGCCGCACCUUGCCGCCGGCAGUUCCUAAAGCGCCGUUUCGGUGGAGCGCCCUAGCCCCGCUGCUUCCUGCUCCGCUGCACGGGCGCUUGCUUCGCCGCCGGCGGCUCCGCAACAGCGUGCUGUCUGAAGCACAGCGGCGGCCCCUUCCCCCGCUGCUCUUGAGGAUGCACGCGGCGUAGGGGAGGAGUCGGGAUGGGUCGCGCGAGAGAAGGAUCAGGUCCCGGUGGUUCUGCAGGAGGCGCGUGCAAAGGGGAACACGCGAGAAUGUUUCAGGGGGUCGGCUGGAUCGAUGCUUUGGGAGUUGGGGCCAAGCCGGGAGCACUGGCAAGUCCAAACUCUGCGCCUUUGUCAGGUGAUGGAUGGACAGAAAACUCUGAGCACAGUUGGUGACGGGACGGUGGCCAGUUGGGGACAGGUUGGGGACGAGCCACGUUGUCCCAGUCGUCGACGAGCAAAUGUGAUGCCUGAGGUGGAAGAGCGGAGGUAAGAGGGAGAGGCGGAGGCGCGGUGUGGUAGCCGGUGCGAUGCGGCGGCGCUGUAACGCCUCCUACGAUAUGAUGGCAGAUGGCUGGAUGGAUCCGCUUGACGUGGUACAAGGGAGUGGAUGCACUUACUUGCAAUUGGCAACAGCCAGCCGGAACCGAUCUGUGUCGUGCUUCAGCUAUCACCGUCCUGCUUCUCCCCGCCGCGAAGCGCCGCCAGCUAGAACCGAGAAAACGAUCAGAUCGCGUCACAUAUGCCCCGGGAAGAAAUAACUAACCUACGCCUAGGCGUAUAGUCCAAGAAGAUGGUACGACAAUUUGAAUAGUGUCCAGACUCUUUCCUAGUGGCAACGUUGUUUGUGCAGAUCAUGGUGGUUGCCGGUUCGAACUCCUGUACCAAUUCUUUUUGCAUCGAAUCUCCUGUUUUAAUUUUAAGUUUUCAUAGAUAGAACGAAACAACAUGACCUCACCAGCGCCCCAUUUAAGUUCUUUGCCCAGUCUGUUUACAGAUAAGAAUAAAAAAAAAGUAAGAUGCCA